rnacentral:rRNA from 1 species
GGGACACGUGGUAUCCUGUCUGAAUAUGGGGGGACCAUCCUCCAAGGCUAAAUACUCCUGACUGACCGAUAGUGAACCAGUACCGUGAGGGAAAGGCGAAAAGAACCCCGGCGAGGGGAGUGAAAAAGAACCUGAAACCGUGUACGUACAAGCAGUGGGAGCACGCUUAGGCGUGUGACUGCGUACCUUUUGUAUAAUGGGUCAGCGACUUAUAUUCUGUAGCAAGGUUAACCGAAUAGGGGAGCCGAAGGGAAACCGAGUCUUAACUGGGCGUUAAGUUGCAGGGUAUAGACCCGAAACCCGGUGAUCUAGCCAUGGGCAGGUUGAAGGUUGGGUAACACUAACUGGAGGACCGAACCGACUAAUGUUGAAAAAUUAGCGGAUGACUUGUGGCUGGGGGUGAAAGGCCAAUCAAACCGGGAGAUAGCUGGUUCUCCCCGAAAGCUAUUUAGGUAGCGCCUCGUGAAUUCAUCUCCGGGGGUAGAGCACUGUUUCGGCAAGGGGGUCAUCCCGACUUACCAACCCGAUGCAAACUGCGAAUACCGGAGAAUGUUAUCACGGGAGACACACGGCGGGUGCUAACGUCCGUCGUGAAGAGGGAAACAACCCAGACCGCCAGCUAAGGUCCCAAAGUCAUGGUUAAGUGGGAAACGAUGUGGGAAGGCCCAGACAGCCAGGAUGUUGGCUUAGAAGCAGCCAUCAUUUAAAGAAAGCGUAAUAGCUCACUGGUCGAGUCGGCCUGCGCGGAAGAUGUAACGGGGCUAAACCAUGCACCGAAGCUGCGGCAGCGACACUAUGUGUUGUUGGGUAGGGGAGCGUUCU